rnacentral:rRNA from 1 species
GAUGAACGCUGGCGGCGUGCCUAAUACAUGCAAGUCGAGCGAACAGAUGAGGAGCUUGCUCCCCUGACGUUAGCGGCGGACGGGUGAGUAACACGUGGAUAACCUACCUAUAAGACUGGGAUAACUUCGGGAAACCGGAGCUAAUACCGGAUAAUAUAUUGAACCGCAUGGUUCAAUAGUGAAAGACGGUUUUGCUGUCACUUAUAGAUGGAUCCGCGCCGCAUUAGCUAGUUGGUAAGGUAACGGCUUACCAAGGCGACGAUGCGUAGCCGACCUGAGAGGGUGAUCGGCCACACUGGAACUGAGACACGGUCCAGACUCCUACGGGAGGCAGCAGUAGGGAAUCUUCCGCAAAGGGCGAAAGCCUGACGGAGCAACGCCGCGUGAGUGAUGAAGGUCUUCGGAUCGUAAAACUCUGUUAUUAGGGAAGAACAAAUGUGUAAGUAACUAUGCACGUCUUGACGGUACCUAAUCAGAAAGCCACGGCUAACUACGUG